ACCAAGUUGGAUCAAUGGAUUGGUUUUUCAACCAUUAAUUAUUUUUAAAAUUAAUAUGUGGGGUUUAAGGUUGUAAUUUUAUUUUAUUUUAAUUUAGGGAAAUUAGGCUGUAUAACGCUAAAAAUCACUAAUCAGCUACAUGUUCAAUUUUCCUAAUACUAUACACACUGUGUCUUUUCUAUAAUAAUUAUAUUUUUCCCUUUCAGCAAUCGGUGAAAUUUACAGACAGAAAAUAAAAGUUAAUAACUAUUACCUGUCAAAAGUAAUUCAUGGCAGCUCGAUAUUCACAUCUUCCUUUUUGUAAUUUUUCUUGGAAACUUUCUAUGAUUGGCAUGUUCUCACUCAUGGAGUAGAUCAAUAUUAUCACCACCGCCUGAAUUCUAGAGUAUUUUAUGAUCGAGAAACUUCUCUAAAAGUCCUAACCUUCUCUGCUUCCGAAACCGCCAAAGCGCCGCCGCAGUUACAACCGAGGCGGCGAUGAGCUUCACCCGGGUCGAUUCGCCUCCACAUCACCGAUUCAACGAAGAUCCUUCUCAAAUUCUGUGAUUCAGCUGAUGGUGACAAAUUAAAAUAUGAAUGACAAGCGUGCACCAUAUCUGAGAUCUCAAUAACAAUACUGCAACAUGGAAGUUGCAUAUGAAUGAAGUGGAAUGAAGUGGCGUUACUAUUCCAUUUACAGAUUCUUGUUCUAUUCUACAUGGACAUAUUAUGUAAUGUGAUAUAUUUUGUUACUAUACAAUUUUGUCAUGUUCCAUUCCAUUUGACGAUUACUAAAAGUGCUCUAUUUUAUUUAAAAAUAUAGUUUGUAACUUUCUUAA